AUAGUUGUAGUGGCAUUAAUUG
rnacentral:miRNA from 1 species